GACGAACGCUGGCGGCGUGCUUGACACAUGCAAGUCGAACGGAAAGGCCUGCUUUCCCUUGUGGAUUGCGGGUACUCGAGUGGCGAACGGGUGAGUAACACGUGAGUGAUCUGCCCCCAACUUGGGUAUAAGCCUGGGAAACUGGGUCUAAUUCCCGAUAGGACUGCAGGGUGGUGCCUGUGGUGGCAAACGAUUUUCUAGUGGUUGGGGAUGAGCUCGCGGCCUAUCAGCUUGUUGGUGGGGUAAUGGCCUACCAAGGCGGCGACGGGUAGCCGGCCUGGGAGGGUGGACGGCCACAUUGGGACUGGGAUACGGCCCAGACUCCUACGGGAGGCAGCAGUGGGGAAUAUUGCACAAUGGGCGGAAGCCUGAUGCAGCGACGCCGCGUGGGGGAUGACGGCCUUCGGGUUGUAAACUCCUUUCGACCGCGAGGAAGCCACCUGGUUGGAAGGGUGGUGACGGUAGUGGUAGAAGAAGCACCGGCUAACUACGUG
rnacentral:rRNA from 1 species